rnacentral:tRNA from 11 species
UUGUAGCUCAGUGGCAGAGCACGGGUCUUAUGAGCCCGUGGUCAUGGGUUCGAAU